ensembl:lncRNA
GUGCAGGUAUUAGUGAGCUGUUACUAGUUAUUAUCAAAAGGUAUAUCUCACAGGGAGAUGCUAUCAGGAGAGUGGGGGAUAGAAUACAGAAUUCUUUGAUCCUACCUCAUCUUCUGAGCACUGUAUUUUAAGGAAGGAAGAUGUAGGAAAAAUGGGGAAAAAAUGAAUAUGGCAAACAGAAAUGUUCAGUCAUCCAGCAAGAUUAAACUGCUCAGAUGGACAGAGGUGUAAUUUGCCACAGGGAAUACGUAUUGAGGGGCUGGAGGGUGUGGGGUAACAAUGGAACUUCUAAUAUUUAGGAGUCGUAAAGGUGAGAACAAUCAAUUUUUCUUCCACUAUUUGGGGAACAGAUGGGAUUAUUUUAUUUGUUUCCUUUCUUUUAGAGAAACAUCUUUGAACACAGUGCCAAUGAAGCUGGGAGCAGAGGAGACCUCACAGUGAACAUCUGCUUUAAAUCUGGAGGAGAGUGAGCAGAAUGUCCCUGGAGGUUUUCAAGGCCAGGUUGGAUGGGGCCCUGGGCAGCCUGGGCUGGUAUUACAUGUGGAGGUUGGUGGCCCUGCCUGUGGUGGGGGGUUGGAGCUUCAUGAUACUUGAGGUCCCUUCCAACCCAAGCCAUUCUGUAAUUCUGUGAUUAAGGUCACAAGAGACCUGUAAAAUCAAUCAUCAACCCACCACCACUAUGAGCAUCCCCAGGCUGGUGUUGCUGAGCACCGUGACUCGGAGAGCUGCCAAGCUGGACAACUGCUCCUCACUGUCCAGCUUGACCUUU